GAUGAACGCUGGCGGCGUGCCUAAUACAUGCAAGUCGAGCGAACAGAUAAGGAGCUUGCUCCUUUGACGUUAGCGGCGGACGGGUGAGUAACACGUGGGUAACCUACCUAUAAGACUGGGAUAACUUCGGGAAACCGGAGCUAAUACCGGAUAACAUUUGGAACCGCAUGGUUCUAAAGUGAAAGAUGGUUUUGCUAUCACUUAUAGAUGGACCCGCGCCGUAUUAGCUAGUUGGUAAGGUAACGGCUUACCAAGGCGACGAUACGUAGCCGACCUGAGAGGGUGAUCGGCCACACUGGAACUGAGACACGGUCCAGACUCCUACGGGAGGCAGCAGUAGGGAAUCUUCCGCAAUGGGCGAAAGCCUGACGGAGCAACGCCGCGUGAGUGAUGAAGGGUUUCGGCUCGUAAAACUCUGUUAUUAGGGAAGAACAAAUGUGUAAGUAACUGUGCACAUCUUGACGGUACCUAAUCAGAAAGCCACGGCUAACUACGUGCCAGCAGCCGCGGUAAUACGUAGGUGGCAAGCGUUAUCCGGAAUUAUUGGGCGUAAAGCGCGCGUAGGCGGUUUCUUAAGUCUGAUGUGAAAGCCCACGGCUCAACCGUGGAGGGUCAUUGGAAACUGGGAAACUUGAGUGCAGAAGAGGAAAGUGGAAUUCCAUGUGUAGCGGUGAAAUGCGCAGAGAUAUGGAGGAACACCAGUGGCGAAGGCGACUUUCUGGUCUGUAACUGACGCUGAUGUGCGAAAGCGUGGGGAUCAAACAGGAUUAGAUACCCUGGUAGUCCACGCCGUAAACGAUGAGUGCUAAGUGUUAGGGGGUUUCCGCCCCUUAGUGCUGCAGCUAACGCAUUAAGCACUCCGCCUGGGGAGUACGACCGCAAGGUUGAAACUCAAAGGAAUUGACGGGGACCCGCACAAGCGGUGGAGCAUGUGGUUUAAUUCGAAGCAACGCGAAGAACCUUACCAAAUCUUGACAUCCUUUGAAAACUCUAGAGAUAGAGCCUUCCCCUUCGGGGGACAAAGUGACAGGUGGUGCAUGGUUGUCGUCAGCUCGUGUCGUGAGAUGUUGGGUUAAGUCCCGCAACGAGCGCAACCCUUAAGCUUAGUUGCCAUCAUUAAGUUAGGCACUCUAGGUUGACUGCCGGUGACAAACCGGAGGAAGGUGGGGAUGACGUCAAAUCAUCAUGCCCCUUAUGAUUUGGGCUACACACGUGCUACAAUGGACAAUACAAAGGGCAGCUAAACCGCGAGGUCAUGCAAAUCCCAUAAAGUUGUUCUCAGUUCGGAUUGUAGUCUGCAACUCGACUACAUGAAGCUGGAAUCGCUAGUAAUCGUAGAUCAGCAUGCUACGGUGAAUACGUUCCCGGGUCU
rnacentral:rRNA from 1 species